AAGUGCUGGCCACUAUUUCCAGGCCUUAACAGUAAAAAUCCUCCUCCCAGCCCACCACGUUCUCUCUCUGUCCCCAUCUGCAACUGAAUGCAGAGAAGGAAGGUGUCAUAGAAGAUGCAGAGCCACAUGAUGAAAGGAGCCUGGCUCCCUGGAUGAUGGAACAGUCUCCACAGUGACCCUCUUUGGAUUGUGAUAUGACCAACUGCCACCUGAACUUCUGAAUGGAUUUUUCUCUGCGCCCACUUGAUAUGCUCUACUUCAGUGGGAGGAGGGCAGUGACAAGAAGUCAAGAAGACUUGAAUUCCUGCCAACUGAGAGACGGCUGAAGGAAAUGGGAACAUUUAUCUUGCAGAAGAGAAAUAUGGAGGCCUCAAGGACUGGCAUCAGACAGCUGACUCGCUGCUAUGUGCAAGAAGGAGUGGGCUUAUCUUAAGUUGUCCAGAGUGCAGUAGAAAAUGGAAACUCUGGGCAAUCAGAUUUCAGCUCAAUGUGAUGGUCUGAAGAAGAAAGGCCUCUGGAAGAGUGAAAGUUAGCAUAAGCAUAGAGCUUACCUCCACAUCAACUGAUUUGGGUGGUCUAUGAAUGAUAACGAUAACAAUGUCUGGCACCGGGUAAGCAAUUAUUUAUUACUAUUAUUACAUCAUCAAAUAGCCAUUAUUAGUAUUCCCUUUGGGGUCAGUGCUCUCUACUUCAUGGCUGUAGGGAUUUUUGUGUGUUUCGUUUACUGCAGAAUUGCGAGUGCCUUUUAGAAUAGUACCUGUCACAUAAUAGGGACUGAAUAAAUAUUUGUUGAAUAUUAGUUAACAUAGCUUUACGCCAACUUAAUCUACUUAUACAUGGGGCAAUUUGUGGACAGCAGGGCUAUCUUUACCUCAUUUCCUUUCUUUGAUCCCAUUUAAGUUCAGCUCUGCCCAGGUCCUGACCUCUGACUAGAUACAGUUUUCAUCUGUGCUACUUCCUUCUGGACUUUCAAAUUAAUCCUGAUUUCCUUGGUUUGACCACGGUACCCUAUAACGAAUGACACUCUGUUUUUUUCCUGCCUCGUUACUUAAGGGAGGAAAUCCUGCCCUGCCUCUCACCUUGAGAACAAACUCUACCUCCAGCCUCACUGAUUUUGUUCAAAUAUUUAUCAACUACAUAGCAGGCAAUCUGCUAGGCUCUGAAGACACAGUGAAGAAGAAGAAAGGUAGGCUCCCUAGCCUUUGUAGGAUUGGGCGUAAUUUGUUUUCUUAAUAUAUUAAGACCCAGAGGUGGGAAGGGACAAAGCCAGGUUCAUCCAAUGAACAGGUUGCAGAGCCAUGAAGAGAGAGAACACGGCUAAACUGAUUAGGCACCCAACCCGGCUUCCUGACAAAUAGCCUCAGCAAAGCAAGUGACCCCCCCCCACCUCGCUUGUCUUCCAGCUGCACCCCUUUCCCAUUCUGAAUUGUCCAGGUUAUGUGUCAUGGACCAUGAUAGAAUGACUCAUCUUUUCAGAGGGCACGCAUCUGCAUCAGACUCCACAUCGUGGGUUGCUAUGUCUUGAGUUGCCAAAAUAAGAAUCAGAAUGUUCUUAUUCUUUGCUCUCUGUGAGUCAAGCCCUGGCCACCAGAAAAGCCCUGGUUGCCCUAAAGAACUUGGAGUCAGCUGGUCACAGUGACUCACUCUUGCAAUCUCAGCACUUUGGGAGGCUGAGGCAGGUGGAUCACUGGAGGCCAGGA